AUUUGAUGGUGAGGACACGGGACGCAUGAUUUCUUGAACCACUCUCAAUACUCAUAGAGCGCUUCCCCAUCAUUUUGAAGAAUGCUUGAGAUCUCCUUCCUUAUGU